ACCUGGGCCAUCCUCCACUGCACUCCCUGGCCAUAGCAGAGAGCUGGCCUGGAAGAGGGGCAACCGGGACAGAAUCCGGCGCCCCAACCGGGACUAGAACCCGGUGUGCCGGCGCCGCAAGGUGGAGGAUUAGCCUAUUGAGCCACGGCGCCGGCUUAAAUAAAAGUUUUUAAAAAAUCUAGUUUUAUGAUAUAUUUCUUCAAUUGCCUGUGAGUGAAUUUGGGACCUAACUGGGGAGUUGUUUUUUUUUUUUUUUUUUAAGUUUUAUUUAUUUAUUUGAAGGUCAGAAAGAAAGAGAGAGAGAUAUCUUCCUUCUACUUCACUCCCCAGAUGGCUGCAACAGCCAUGGCUGCACCAAGCCAAAGCCAGGAGCUUAUUUUGGGUCUCCCACAUGGGUUGCAGGGGCCCAUGUACUUGGUCCAUCUUCUGCUGCCUUCCCAGGCACAUUAGCAGGGAACUAGAUCAGAAGUGGAGCACUCGGGUCACAAAGCAGUGCCCAUAUGGGUUGCUGGUGUUGCAAGCGGCAGCUUUACUCUCUAUGCCACAACACCAGCCCCAUAAUUGGGGAUUUUUAAAGAAAGAUUUAUCUAUUUAUUUAUUUAUUUAUUUGAAAGAUAGGUGUAGGGAGAGGGGGGUAGAGAUAGAGAGAGAUCAUCCAUUCACCGAUUCACUCCCCAAGUGACUGCAACAGGCUGAAGCCAGGAGCCUGGCGUUCCAUCUUUAUGGGUGGCAGGGGCCCAAGCCAUUGGAGUCAUCUUCCACUGCUUUCCCAGGCACAUUAUCAGGGAGCUGGAUUGGAAGUGGAGCAGUGGACUUUCUGGUGCUUAUAUGGCUUAACAGGGGAGUGAACCAGGAUUCAAUAUGGGAUGCUGGCACUAGAAGUGUUGGCUUAAUCUGCUGUGCCACAUCGCUAGCCCUUACUGGGGAUUUUAAAUAUGGGGGUUAUUCUAGAGGGGAAUUCAUGAAUGGGUAUAAAGAGAAGAAGGAAAAAGAAGGAAAGAAAUAACAGGAAAAUCUCAAGUUUUGUACUUCUCAAAUGGUGUGUAAAUGGUGGUUCAGUGAUUUUCAAACAGUGUCCUAGGUGCCACUAGGGCUCUGCUACCAUUUUCCUCAGCCCUCUGCUGUUUGAAUACUCAAUGUCCCUACGGCCAUACCACCCUGAACAUGCCAGAUCUCGUCUGAGUACUCAGUGUCCUAGGUCAUUGUUGCCUCCCUCCUUUUCUCCCUUUUUUAAAAACCUAUUUGAGAGACAGAGAGAAAGGGAGGAGCCAGAGGGGUGAGAGAGUGAGAGAGAGAGAGCAAGAACCAGUGAGUGCUCCCACUGGCUAGUUCACUCCCCAAGCACCUGCAGUGGGUAGGAAUGGUCCAAGCUAAAGCAGGAGCUGCUGGCAACUUAAUCUGGCCUCCUAUGUGGGUGGUAAGGGCCCAGCCACCUCAGCCAACCCCUGCUGCCUCUCAGGGUGUACAUUGCUGGGAAGUUGGAAUCUGUAGCCAAAGCUGGGCAGUGGGCCUGGGUACUCUGAUAGCACAUGUGUGUGUGUGUGUGUGUGUGUGUGUCUCUCUCUCUCUCUUUUUUUUUUUUGACAGAGUGGACAGUGAGAGAGAGAGAGAAAGAGAGAAAGGUCUUCCUUUUCCAUUUGUUCACCCCCCGCUAUGGCCGCUGUGGCCGGCACACUGCGCUGAUCCAAAGCCAGGAGCCAGGUGCUUCCUCCUGGUCUCCCAUGCGGGUGCAGGGCCCAACCACUUGGGCCAUCCUGCACUGCCUUCCUGGGCCACAGCAGAGAGCUGGACUGGAAGAGGGGCAACCAGGACAGAAUCCGGCGCCCUGACUGGGACUAGAACCCAGUGUGUCGGCGCCGCAGGCGGAGGAUUAGCCUAUUGAGCCGUGGUGCAGGCCAGAUGUGUGUGUCUCUUAACUGUUAGGCUAAUGCCUGCCCCUGUUUUGCUGUUUUAAAGGAACCAUAUUACUAACCUAAAUGAGAGGAGGGACUUGCUAAAUGAGGUCUCCCUGCUGUGCCUUAGGAAUAUCCUGUUAUUUGGUUGAGAUCUGUGUGGUCAAGGCAAUGUGGUAUCAAAUCGCACUGCAGCUGCAACUCCAGUGUGGUAACUGUGAAGUAUCUGUUAGGCAAAGUAGAGGUUAAGGCCCCUUAAGGGCUGGGGCUUCUUAUCUUGCUUUUAUUAGCAGUGGUGUCAACAUGUACUAAAAUGUGAUGACCCACUCUCUUUUCUGAUAAAAGGAGACUGACCUGCCUGGCGCAGAUGGAGAGAGAGGUGCCUGGGGCACAUUACAUUGUCACCUCUCCUAAUAACAGCAGGCGCUGGGAAAAAAAUAAGAAAAAAGAAAAAGGGCAGCAUAUUUCUGUUUACUCAUGGAAAUGUUUGACAUUUUUGGCUUCCAAUGAAAUGUACUGGGCAGAGGAGGAUUAGGAACAUUGUAUCAGGGGAAGCAAAGAAGUGAGUAGGGGAGAAAGGGAGUGUGGCUUUGUAAGAGAGAUUUGAAGGCAUGAGGGGGCUUAAAUCCCAGCCCUGUAACAAUCUUGUUGGCAGAGCCUUAAGACCUCAAACCCUAGAAAGAGCUUCACUUUCAGUCUGAUUUUUAUUUAACCUGUGUUUUUAGAGAGCCAAGAUUUCUGUCAUGGCUUAGCUGGCUUUCUUUAGGUGAACUAAAUACAAGGCUACCUGUAUAGUGGGUAAUCUCUGAGGACUCUCCACCAGGGUAGAACAUUCGGGAGAUCAUUGCUCACUCCUCCAUAAAUGUAUUUACUUAUUUGGCUUUGAGUCAUAGUCUGAGAACUCUUGGGAAAAGUUGUUGUUACUUAAUAUUUUAUUUAUUUACUUGAGAGGCAAAGCUUCAGAGAGGGAGAGACAGAGAGAAAGACCCCCCUCCCAUCUGCUGGUCCACUCCCCAAAUGGCUGCAAGGGCUGGUGGUGGGCAGAUCAGAAGCCAGGAGCCAGGAGCUUCCUCUGGGUCUCCCAUGUGGUGCAGGGGGCCCAAGCACUUGGGCCAUCUUCUGUUGUUUUUGCAGGCCAUAAACAGAGAGCUGGAUUAUUGGAAGAGGAGCAGCCAGGACCAGAACCAGCACCCACAUGGGAUGCUGGCCCUGCAGGCAGAGGCCCAAUCCAUAUGCCACAGCCGGCCUCAAGUUGUUAUUUUGAGAUGUUCGGUAUAAUUUAAGGGUUUUAUUGUUGUUAUUGUCAGUAAUUGUGUGAUUGUGUGACUUAAUCUGUCAUCUUGAAAUAUAAAUUAUACAGAGGUAACAUAAAAAAAGUUAAUAUAUGAUACUUUGAGGUGUCUUAGAAGGAUUGCAUUUGUGUCAUGUCCACUAUGGAAACACUCUUACUUAUUACAGAAAACAUUAUAUAAGGAUUUCCUUUCAAGUUUUUUUUUUUUUUUUUAAGAUUUAUUUAUUUGAAAGGCAGAGUUAUAGAGAGACAGGGAGAGAGAGAGAGAGUGAGAGUGAGCGAACGCUAUUGAGCUGUCUUCUAUCCGUUGGUUCACUACCCAAAUGUCAGCAACAGCCAGGGCUGGGCCAGGAGCCAGGAGCUUCUUCAGGGUCUCCCAUGUGGGUGCAGGGUCCCAAGUAGUUGGCCAUCUUCUGCUGUUUUCACAGAAUUAACAGGGAGCUGGACUGGAAGUGGAGCAAUCAGGACUCGAACCAGUGCCCAUAUGGGAUGUCAGCAUUGUAGAUGGUGGCUUUAUCUGCUAUGCCAUAAUGCUGCCCCUGCUUUAGAAUUUUUAAGCAAAACAAAAGGCAGUUUAGCCAGAAUGAAAGAGUUUUAUAUUAAUGGAAAACUCAUUGGAAGGAAGGUAAGAAGCAAACAAUAAAAACAGCAAAAGCAAAGCAGCACUCUAGCAUGUCAUUCUGUAAACUGUAUAUACCCAUAUACAUGCAAAUUCUACAAACUGGAAGUAUAUUUGAAAAUCCAACUCCACCCAAAUGUACUUAUGACAAAACAUUUUUAAAAGUGUACAGAAUGGGAAAAUACUAAAAAAGAAUUUCUUGGGCUUGCAGUUUUUCUCAGUGAAAUCCAUCAAUGAAAUUCCCUUUAUUUCUUCCUUCAGAUAUGAAGUUUGCACUUAUUAACAUAAUUAGCAAGAGGUUUUUAAAAAAAGCAACUUCGGAUCUGGAUUUCUUCUGGAUUUUUUCCUAUUAUUUAGUUUUUUUUUUCUUUUUUAAAAUAUUUAUUUUGUUUAUUUGAAAGAGUUACUGAGAGAUAUAGUGACACAGAGAGAGGUCUUCCAUCCAAUGGUUCACUUCCCAAAUGACCGUAAUGGCACCGAUCCGAAGCCAGGAGCUGAGCUGAUCUGAAGCCAGGAACUUCUUCCAAGUCACUCAUGUGGGUGCAGGAGCCCAAGCACUUGGGCCAUCCUCCACUGCUUUCUCAGAUGCAAUAGCAGGGAGCUGGAUCAGAAGUGGAACAGGUGUGACUCCAACGGGUACCCAUAUGGGAUGCUGGCACUGAAGGCCUGGACUUAAACCUGCUGCACCACAGUGUCAGCCCCUUUAGUUUUCUUAGAUUCCUAGUACUGUCUAUUCUGCUCUGUAUAUUUUGAGGACUCUGUACAAAACUUUAGAGGAACAGACAUGCUUUGGUGAUGUAGCGAUUCUUGAUGUUUCCAGAACUACAAAAUAGUAUUCACUUGAUACCAAAUCCUAAUUGUCUUCAGCUCAAGUUGAGUGGCUGGUAUCAUACUGGAGGAGAUGUAUAUUGAAGUGUUUUGUGCCUUUCCUUGUUGUAUGAGUUUCAAAAAUGUUGGCUAUAAGAAACAGAAUCCCCCCCCCCCUUUUGACAGGUAGAGUGUGAGAGAGAGACAGAGAGAAAGGUCUUCCUUUUUCCGUUGGUUCACCCCCCAAAAUGGCCGCCACAGCCGGUGGGCUGUGUUGAUCUGAAGCCAGGAGCCAGGUGCCUCCCCCUGGUCUCCCAUGCGGGUGCAGGGCCCAACCACUUGGGCCAUCCUGCACUGCCUUCCCGGGCCACAGAGAGAGCUGGACUGGAAGAGGAGCAACUGGGACAGAACUGGUGCCCCAACUGGGACUAGAACCCAGGGUGCCGGCGCCGCAGGCAGAGGAUUAGCCAGUUGAGCCGUGGUGCUGGCCAGAAUUCCCAUUUUAUAAUGGAAUAAAUGGUCAUGACAUGCCUUCCCAUGUCGUAAGCUGUCUGGAAUAAGAAGGUUCAUCUGUAGCGGUGGCCUAAUGUUUUCAGCAGAUGCUAACACUCUUUAGUUUUCCAGCACUCUUUAGUUUUGGUCUUUUGGCUUGUAACCUUGUGAUCAAAAGAAGAUUGCUACAAUCCUAACUAUUAAGUCCUAAAGCAACUGUGUUAAAAGCAGGAAGAAGAGAAUGGGAGAUUAAAGGGGGACUUUAUAUGAUUAUGAAAAUCUUUCUCAAAAGUUCCCUAGUAGAAUUCCUAUUAUGCCUCACUGUUCAGUGCUGGAUUAGUUGGCCAUUCCCAGUUGCAAGAGAGACUGGGAAAACAAGUAUCUGGCAAAACAGAAUGAGAUUCCCAUCCAGCUUUAUAGAGCUCAUGAUCCAGUCCUGUGAACUGGGCUCACAGCUACCUUUGUUAGUAGAGAAGGAGAAAGAAUAGCUUGAGUAGACAGCCAGCGGAUUCUUUGAUACUCAAUUAAUGUAUGACUGGAAAUGAGAUUUAAAAAAAAAUUGUAUUAUUUAUUUGAAAGAUAAGAGAGACUGAGGGAGAUCUCCCAUUGGCUGGAUUCCUUCCCUAAUGCCUGCCGGGUAUUGACGAGGCUGAAGCUAGGAGCCGAGAACUCAAGUCUGUGUCUCCCACAUGGGUGGCAGGGACCCGGGUACUUGAGCCAUCAUCACCUACUGCCUCCCAGGGUGCACAUUAGCAGGCAGCUGGGAUGGAGAGUGCAGCCGGGACUUGAACACAGGUAUCCUUGGAAAUCAAAGCAGAGACAGUUCUGCUCUUCAUGUGGCAACUGUGGCUGGCAUCAGGAGAGCCACACCUGCUUCACGGAGUGGGUGACUGAGUCAGCAGCCGAGGAAAGCAGCCCAGCAUGGCUUAACCAGCAUCUAAGAUAAGGCCUCUGCCUCUAUCCAUCUGUGUAAGAAACAGGCUCUCUCGGAUCCUCAGUUUCUGGUUCUGUAAAAUGGAGAUAAUGCAAUUCAGAUUGUAGGCUCCGAUAUGGUUCUUUUUUUUUUCUUUUGAGCAGGGAGUGUUUGCUGACUUCUGGCUAAGAAGGAGCUAUUUUUUUUUUAAAGAUUUAUUUAUUUAUUUGAAAGUGAGCGUUACACAGAGAGAGGAGAGGCAGAGAGAGAGAGAGAGGUCUUCCAUCUGCUGGUUCACUCCCCAGUUGGCUGCAAGGGCCAGAGCUGCAUGGAUCCGAAGCCAGGAUCCAGGAGCUUCUUCCAGGUUUCCCAUGCGGGCGCAGGGGCCCAAGGACGUGGGCCAUCAUCUACUACUUUCCCAGGCCACAGCAGAGAGCUGGAUUGGAAGUGGAACAGCCAGGUCUCAAACUGGCGCCCAUAUGGGAUGCUGGCGCUUUAGACCAGGGUGUUAGCCCGCUGAGCCACAGCGCUGGUCCUGAUAUGAUUCUUAAUAUGAACAACUCACUCUUCUAAUCAUGUUAUCUCUUUUAAUAACAUGUUAACUCUAUAAGAUCGGUCCUCUUAUUGUCUCCAUUGUAUAGAUGAAGAAAAGAGGGCAAGAGAGGUUAAAUGGUGUGUCAGUGAUCUCCAGCGAGUAGCAGAGAGAUCUGGAAUUUGAGUACGGGCUUUGUGGCUCCUGAAUUUGAAUCCUGCAUUGUAAUGGACAACUUCAACUCAUCUGUGUUCUUCUCUACUGUCUUGAGAUAAACUAGGUCAGAUGCACUGCUUACUGUCUUUGAAAUAUUCUACCAUCAAGUCAUAGUUUUCAUUCCUUCCCCAAGUCAGUAUUGAGGCUUCUCUAGAAAUCUUGUGGUCACCCUUCUUUUCUGUCGCCUUCUCUCUUUGAUCUGUUAGCAGCCUGAAAAGCUGGCCCCUCCUGAUUCCUACCGCCUGUCUUAGUUUAGGUCACCACUGAAUACCUCCUUCCAGCAGAAUUGCAGCAGUCUCCUAGCUGAUACGCUGCUGUCUGUUCUUCAUUUUUCUCCCUAAUCCAUCUUUGACUUUGCUGGCAGUGAUUUUGUUAUUAUUUGACUUUGAUUCAGGGUAGGCCUAAAUUGUGUGACAUAUAAAGUCCAAGUUCCACAGGUUUCCAGAAUAAUACUUAACCUUACCAGCUAAUUCUCCCAAUUCUGACUGUCUUUCCCCCUGUUCUUGCAGCUCCACUUACUUUGUCAGGAGUACUCACUCCCGCUUCCACCCAAUACUCAGCUCCUUUCCCAUUCCUCCAUUCAUGUGGGAGAAAUUCUAGCCCCUUAAGAUUCUGCUGUAAAGUUUCUGUCUUCACAAAUCCUUCCCUGCCAUUAUGCCCAUUUAUCCCUUCAGUUUCUGGUCACUUUGUACUUGGCCGUGGCAUUGCUCUACCUUUCAUGUCUCUUUAAUGGUAAAUCCCUGGAAGGCAGGAACCGUGUCUGCACCUGUUUCUGCAGAGCACAGUGAAGUUUUUGUCAGUAGACAGACUGGGUUGAUUGAUGUCCUAAGAAUGUUUUAAAUUUUCCAUGGUGGACACAUUUUACUUACAUCACACACAUACACACACACACACACGGAGGGUGCUCCUUUUAAUAGCAUUUUGAGCCAUUAUUUCUUUUUCCUGUGUGAAAUCCUCUAGGGAAACACAUUGAUUUGUUCCCUUAUUAUAACGUUAUGGGGAAAGAAUGUGUACUCUGUGAUGUUUGUAUCAUUUUGCAUGUACUUUUUCCAAUAAUGAUAUUAAUUCCUUCAUCACAUUAAUAACGUGUUUAAAAUAUCACAUUGUACAGAAAGAUUGUAAUGGAGAAUGAUUAUUCUAUUCCUCACUAACAUCCCCAGUAAGAGAUGACUACUUUUUUGCUGUUGUUGUUAAAAAAAAAUUUAUUUAUUUGAAAGGCAGAGCAAGAGAGAGAGAGAAUCUUCUAUCCACUGGUUUGCUCCUCAGAUAUCUGUAAUAGCUGAGUCUGGGCCUGGCCAAAGUUAGUAGCCAGGAGCUCUAAUUCUGGUCUCCCACAUGGGUGCCAGGUCCCAAGCCCUUGAACCAUUUUCUGCUGCCUUCCCUGCUGCAUUAGCAGGAAGCUGGAUUGGAAACAGAGGUGCUAGGGCUUGAAUUGACACUCUGACGUGGGAUGCUGGCGGCACCUGCUUUACUUACUGUGCCACAAUGCAGGCUCCGCCCAUGCCCACUCAUCUAUGACCCACCCCCCCCCCCCUUUUGUUGUUGCUGGCUGUAGUUGUUUUCUUUCUAAUUAUGUACUUGAGAUGCAGAAAGUCAGAGCAGCUUUAUUAUAACAAUUUAUAUAUUCUGUAAUUCACCUGUUUAAAGUGUAUAGUUCACUUUUGUGUGUGUGUGUGUGUGUGUGUGUAUUCACAGGUUGUACAGCUAUCACCUCUAAAGUCAAAUUUGUAGAAUAUUUUCAUUCCUGCUGAAAGAUGCGCUGUACCUUUUAGUUGUUACUUCUUCCCUCCCAUCUACCACCCACCUCUAGCUGUAAGCAAUUACUAACUUAGUUUCUGUGUUGAUAUAUUUUCUUGUUAAGGACAUUUCAUAUACUUGGAAUGAUACAAUAUGUGGUCUGUGUGGCUGGCUUCUUCCGCUUAUGGCUUCUUCCGCUUAUCAUAAUGUUUUGAAGAUUGAUAUAUGUUGUAAAAUGUGUGUAUCCUUUGUAUCUUUUUCUGGCUCAAAAUAAGAUUCCAUUACGUGGAUAGUUUCAUAUUUUAUCCGUUCAUGGGUUGUUUCCUCUUUCUAGCCAUUAUGAAUAAAGUGCUAUAAACACUUUUUUUAAAAAGAUCUAUUUAUUUGAAAGUCAGAGUUACACAGAGGAGAGGCAGAGAGAAAGAGAGAUGUCUUCCAUCCGUUGGUCCACUCCCCAAUUGGCUGCAAGGGCCAGAGCUGUGUCGAUGUGAAGCCAGGAGCUAGGAGCUUCCUCUGAGUCUUCCCAUGCAGGUGCAGGGGCCCAAGGACUUGGGCUAUCUUCCAUUGCUUUCCCAGGCCACAGCAGAGAGCUGGAUCAGAAGUGGAGUAGCUGGGUCUCGAACUGGCACCCAUAUGGGAUGCCAGCACUGCAGGUGGGGUCUUUACCCACUAUACCAUAGUGCCGGCUCCAAACACUUUUUUUUCUUAAAGAUUUAUUUAUUUAUUUGAAAGUUACAGUUACAGAGAGAGAGGGAGAGACACAAAGAGUUCUUCCAUCCGUUGGUUCACUCCCCAGAUGGCUGUAAUGCUGGAGCUGGGCCAGUCUGAAGCCAGGAGCCGGGAGCUUCUUCCAUGUCUCCCAUGUCAGUGCAGGGGCUCAAACACUUGGGCCAUCUUCCUCUGUUUUCCUAGGUGAAUUAGCAGGGAGUAGUAUCAGAAAUAGAGCAGCCAGGAGUUGAACCUGCACCCAUAUGGCAUGCCAGCACUGCAGGCAGCGGCACUUAAACACUUAUUUUCUUUUUAAAGAGGGAUAAAUAUAAAGUUCAAUCUCUCAGGGAAGCAUCAUAAAUCUAUAGCAGGAAUAUAUGAAUGAUAAGGUAAACCCAGUGUCACUUGUUUUGAAGUAAUUAGAACUGUGUUGACUUUUUUCUCAUUUUAGAUGAAGCCUUUUCAAAAUUAGAAGGAUGUGUCUUGCUUGUUAUGCUGACAUGAAUAUGUAACAGUGCCAUCUCUAGCCCUGGGAUCAUACAGCAAAUGUUAACAAGAAGCACUAGAACUUGUGUUUUCCCUGUCCUACUGUUUUUCUACACGAAUGCUGACAGCUAGAGUGGCUUUGUGACAUUGUGCCUACAAAGCUGAAUAUUACACGUGUAGUUACCUAGCUGGGUGUAGAGUGUAUUUAAGAGCUGGACAGCUGGACAUAGUGAGUGGAUGUCAUCAGCCACAUCUGUUUUAUAGUACUGAAGGAUUCUGCACAUAGUUUGAAAAAAAUUGCAAGCUAGAAUUUUAUAAUCAAUUAUAUCUCCACAUUAUGUUUCUGCUAAAUGAAAAGAACAUUUUCUGAGAAAAUGAAACUUAUAAUAUGCUCCUAGGAUUGAAGAUGUGCUUAAUAUAUUUUUAGUUCUUUAUAGUUAGUGUGUCUUAGUUGUAUUUUUCAAGGGAAAACACCCACGGUUUACAGCAGGUUCUCCCAGGUGGCUUUGGUUCUCUGUCUCCCAUUGCUUCUUUUGCAGGAGCCACAUAUUUUCCUUCCACUUUGCAGAAUCACUGAGGGCCACAGAAAAUAUUACUGUGGUACAGCUGACAGUUUUUUGUUAUUGAUCCGGUGGGAACCAGAGCUAUUGUCUUUCUUUUUUGAAAAGAUUUUUUUAAAAACAUAUUUAUUUGAAGGGCAGGGUUAUUGAGAGAAAGAAAUGGGGGUUGUGGGGGGAGAGAGAGAGAGAGAAAGAAAGAUCUCUGCUGGUUCAUUCCCCAAAUGGCUGCAAUGGCCAGGGCUGGGCCAGCCUGAACCUAUGGGCCAGCAGCUUCAUCCAGGUUUCCCAAGUGGGUGUAGGAGUCCAAGUACUUUGGCCACCCUUUGCUGCUUUCCCAGGUGCACUAGCAGAGAGCUAAAUCAGAAGUGGAGCAUCUGGGAUUUAAACCAGUGCCAGUAUGGGAUGCUGGCAUCACAGGUGGCAGCUCAACCCGUUAUAGCACAACACCUGCCCCAAGUUGUCUUUCAAAGUGCCUUUCAGUGUCCCAGUGACUCACAGGAAAUAUUUUUCUUCAUUUCCUACUUGCCCUAAAGGAACAAAAGUCUACUGUAUAUGCUAAUUAUAAAACACAGGGGCUUCCAAAAAUUCCUAGAAAAAUAAUAUGAAAACAAAAAUUUGUUUUGGUACAAAAAUUCUUUAAAAUUAUGCCAUUUUUAAAUAAAAUGGUUUUUCAUGAAGUUUUGAAGAUCUCUCGUAAUGAUUAUAAAUUGAGACAGUGGUGAAAGGUUUAAUGAAGAAGAGAAAAGUCAAGCUUAAUCUUAUUUCACUCUGAUUCUCAUAAUUCUCACAUUUUGGCCCAGAACAGAGAUCAGCAAACUUACACCUGUGGCCUGAAUCCAUCCUGCUGCCUGUUUUGUAUGGCUAUUGGGCUAACAAUGGUGUUUACAUUUUUACUUGGCUGAAGAAAAUUCGAAAGAAGAGCAGUAUUAAAAAAAAUCAUUUUUAUUUGUUUAAAAUGAAGGGAGAGAGAGAGAGAGAGAGAGAAUCUAUGUAUCUCUUAUUUGCUAGUUCACUCCCCAAAUGCCCAUAAUAGCUAGGGCUGGGCCAGGCCAAAGCCAGGAGCUGGAAACUCAAUCUGGGUCUACCAUGUGGUUGGCAGGGACAUAGUACUUGAGCCAUCACGUGCUUUCUCCUAGGGUGUAUGUUAGCAGGAACCUGGAAUUGGCAGUGGAGCCAGGACUUGAAUGCAGGCACUCUGCUACAGGUUAUGGGUGUCCCAAGCAGUGUUGUGCUGUGCCAGAUGCCCUCUCCAGAAUAACAUUUUGGGAUUUGUGGCAGUUAUAUGACAUUCAGAAUUUAGUUUCCAUAAACAAUAGUUUUAUUUGCAACAGAGCAACACACAUUUAUUUGUGUAUUGUAUAUGACUGAUUGCGUGUGCUAAAAUGCCAGAGCAAAGUAGCUGUCCCAAUAGACAUCCAAGACCUGAAGUAUUUACCCUCUGGAUUUUUGCAGUUGAAAAAGUGCUGACCCCUAGGCUGUAAUAGUCAAGACUUUUUUUGUGCAUUUGUAUGGGUUUGUGUGUAUUUUAUGUGUGUGUAUGUGUGCAUUUUUAGACAGUAAAGUCAUCCUAUGUGCUUUUGUCAUUUACCCUUUUGACUGAAAAUUGUUUACUAGUAACUUCUUUGUUUAUUCUACUGAAGUAAAAUUUGAGAACUUACAAUGUUCUUUUCAUGUUUGUGUACUAUAAAUUCAUUAGAUGUUACCUAGGAACACUAAUAGUAACAAUAACAGCAUGCACUGUAUGGCUUGGAAUUGGCUUUAGUUGCUGGAUGAAAUAAGAAUUUAUUUUUCUCACUUUAGUGAGUCCUGAGGCAGGUAGUGGUCAGGCAGCCCAGUGAGGUCAUUGAGGAGGCAGGGUCAUUCCGGCGUCCCGUGCCGCCCUUCUCAACAUGGACUUUCAUUGAAUGAUGGGUGACUGCACUCUGUCGUUGCUGUGUGACAAUCACCACAAAACUUAGCAACUUGAAACAACAGGUCUUUAUUGCCUUGCAGUUUCUGUGGUCAGGAAUCCAGAUAGGUGUAGCUGGUUGACUCUGGCACAGGGCCUCUCGCAAGGCUGCACUCCAGAUGUUGGCAGGUAGGGAAUCAGUUUCAGGCUUGUUCCUGUUCUGUUGGCAGCCCUCAGCGCCUGUUGGCUGGAGGUAUCUGUUCCUUGCCACAUUGGCUUCUCCAUAGGGCAGCCUACAACAUGUCGGUCAGCUUCCCCUAGAGUCUCAGAGAGAUAGAGUUAGAGAUAAACAGAGAUUACAGUCUUUCUGUAACCUGAUCUGGGAGGUACUGUCCCCUCACUUCUGCAGUGUUCUGUGUGUUAGGAGUGAGUCACUGGAACCAGCUUGCACUGGUGAAAGGCUAGGAACCAGGAGGCAGGCAUCAGUGGAGGCUGUUUUAGUGGCUGGUCUCGUCAUUCAGCUGCUGCUUUAUUUGAAGGUGGUAUAUAAACUCUCAGAAAGUGGCCUGGCAGGAGGGAGUCCAGGCAGAAAGGGAAAAGGCUUUUUAGUUUUUUUUUUUUUUAAUUAUUUAUUCAGAUUCAGAAGGUUGGAGAGAGAGAGAGAGUGAGCAAGUGAGCUAGCUCUUCCAUCAGCUAGUUCACUCUCCAAAUGCCCGCAGUGGCCAAGGCUGUAUCAGCUGAAGCCAAGAGCCAGGAACUCAGUCCAUGUCUCCCAUGUAGGUCGCAAGGACUCAAGUGUUUGCGUCAUCACUUGCUGCCUUCCAGGGUGCAUAUUAACAGGAAGCAGUAGUCAAGAGCAGAACCAAGACGCCAACCCAGGCACUCAGGGAUAUGGGUGUUCCAACUAGUAUCUUUUUUUUUUGACAGGCAGUGUGGACAGUGAGAGAGAGAGACAGAGAGAAAGGUCUUCCUUUGCCGUUGGUUCACCCUCCAAUGGCCGCUGCGGAUGGCGUGCUGUGGCUGGCGCAUCGUGCUGAUGCGACGGCAGGAGCCAGGUACUUAUCCUGGUCUCCCAUGGGGUGCAGGGCCCAAGCACUUGGGCCAUCCUCCACUGCACUCCCUGGCCACAACAGAGAGCUGGCCUGGAAGAGGGGCAACUGGGACAGAAUCCGGCGCCCCGACCGGGACUAGAACCCGGUGUGCCGGCGCCACAAGGUGGAGGAUUAGCCUAGUGAGCUGCGGCGCCGGCUCCAACUAGUAUCUUAACUGUUAUGCCAAAUGCCUGCCCUGAGAAAGGCUUUAAAAUUUUUUUUUAAUCAGGAAAACAAUAGUAGACUUUCCAUUUCAUUAAUUAGAAUUGUGCCACUUGGCCACUCCUAGCUGCAAAGAAGUAUGUGAAGGCAGUCUUUCUGUGUGAGGCCAUUGUUGCCUCAGUCAAUAUAAGGAUUUUAUUGACAAGAAAAUUGUUAGGGUGCCGGCGCCGUGUGCAGUAGGUUAAUCCUCCACCAGUGGUGCUGGCAUCCCAUAUGGACUCCAGUUCUAGUCCUGGCUGCUCUACUUCCAGUCCAGCUCUCUGCUAUGGCCUGGGAAAGCAGUAGAAGAUGGCCUAAGCACUUGGGCCCCUGCACCUGCAUGAGAGACCAGGAAGAAGCACCUGGCUCCUAGCUCUGGCUGUUGCGGCCAUUUUGGGGAGUGAACCAAAGGAAGGAAGACCUUUCUCUCUGUCUCUCCCUCUCUCCAUCUGUAACUCUGCUUCUCAAAUAAAUAAAUAAGAAAACUUAAAAAAAAAUUGUUAGAAUAAUGACUGAGUGGCCAGUAGCAGGUAUCCACUAACUUGCCUUCUGAGGUGGUUGUGGGGAUUUGUUUAGGCAAACCCAGGUCUUGCUCGAUUGAUAGUAUAGCUAUGUUAUUGUUGUUACUUAUACCUCACAUAAUAUACCUUGGCAAUUAUUGAUAGAAUGGGAUCCCUGAAUGUCAUUAAUGGAAGUAUAGAAGAAACAAAAAGAGUAUUUCUUGAGUACAAGAAUAAGUGUAUACUAGGCGUUGUAUUUAUAUGUAUAAUCUGACUUAAUUAUCAUGGUAAACCUGUAGGCAUUAUUUAUACCCUUUUACAGAUGAGAAAACAAAGGACCCAAGGUUUUAAGAAGGCUGUUUAAGGAACACUGUAAGGAUUCUGGGUUGUGGAGCUGUUGGUCCCCUUAGUUUCUGGAAUGGAUAAGUUGGGACUGGCUCUUCAUCCCCAUCCCCAUCCCCAGGCAGCUUCCUCUGGUUACUUCAGUUUGCUUGUCAGGUAUAAUUUUCUACUGGCUCCCCAGUGUGGAAGAGGUUAGAGAGUGUACUGCUUUCUCUGCAAGUCAGUGGCAGACUUGAAUGUGUACCUGGUUGUAAAUGACUCCAGAAGCCUUUCUAGGAAAGAUAAUCCAUAGACAGGGGAAAUUUAGUUGGGCUGAAAGAAGAGUUAAAAUGCACCUAUUUAAUAUGCAAAUUAUUACAUUUCUUUUAUAUUUAUAUUUCUUUUUUAAUAGCCAUGAUCACAUUUUUUCAGACUGAAGUUACUUAGCAUGCUUUUCUAUGAAACUAGUCUGAAUGGAAAUAUACUUGGCCACUAGGUGUCUCUUUUUGGUUCUGUACUUUGUCCUGUGCCACAAUUAGAAGGAAAUGGAUGUAAAAAUUAGAUGACAAAGACAUCUAAACAUGAGUGGGACAUGUACUCUGGUAAUCCCAGUUGCCAUUCCCAUCCUUUAUGCUGUGCUUCUAUUCCUCCUUUGCUCACAGGCUGAUAUUUAGCUACUAAUCAAUUCCUUGGAAACUUAGAUGAGUCGUUUGAUGUCUCUUUCUUAUUUAUAAAAGUGAGAAGGUGGGGAGAGGUGAGAACUUUUGUGCACACCUAGAUAUGUUAUGUAAUAAAAUAAUUGUAACAUGUUUGUGGAGAAUUUUGGGCAUGAUUUUUACUAUAUAUAUAUUUUUAUUGUGGGCGUACUUAUGUUACCAGGCAGAUAAUGAUUGCAUCAUUAAUAUUAAUUCCCCUGUUGUUUAACAUAAUAAUUCUGGCUGCAGUUUACAUGUAUUAUUUCCUUUAAUCCUAAAAGGAGCUUUGCAUAGUCACCAUUUUUCCCCUGGUUUUAGAGAUAAGCAAAUAAGAAACUUAGAUGGGGUAAUUUGCUUCUAGGAGAGUUUGAUGGCUUUCAGAUUCAUUCCUCCCCCACCCCUAUUUGGAAGUUCAUUAUGGUGGUGGGGAAGAGUGAGACUUAAGUCAAUCUGUUUAAAAACUCCUAUGCAAUAAAUCAGAAAAGUCUUCUGGAACCCUGGUUUGGUUGUGAGUCCCAGCAUGUGUUUUCUGCACUUGUCUGGUGGAGGGGAGUAGUGUGCUCUGGAUGAGGGCUCCCUUCAGGAAGGCCACAGGCUCUUUGCAGAAUGACAAAUUGUGUACACUCAGGGAUCACUUCCUUUCGCUUGCCUACAAAUGCGGCACCCGUUAUCGUGGAAACCGCGGGGCACUUGACAGCCCAGGUUCAGACCUAGCGCUUCACGGAAUGGAACAUUCUUCUUAUUCAAUUAGAGGCACACUAAAGAACGGGAAAGCAGCGAGGCCUAGGGUUUUCAUGGAGACUGCUGACUGAUAUGUUCCUUUUUGCCUGAAUUUAGAUUCUGCAUUCAAAUCCAGAUAUUUGCCAUCAUCUUAAAGAAAAAUAAAUUAGCUCAUGCUAGGUUUUCUUUAGUCGCAGAUAAUUUAAUUGUGCUUAGUGUCUCUCCAAUUUGCCUCUGCAGUUGUGGUGGUGAUUUCUGCAGACCAUAGGAAAAUGUAUAACAAAUGUGAGAUGAGAGGGUGUUGUCAGCCAGGGAGCACCUUGCCUGGGAAGUGGGAGCUGGCAGUGGGAGCAGUCCCCAGCACUAACAGGCACACCCACAAGAUCUGCCUCCAACACUGUCACUUCUACCUCUUUGUUCCCCUUCCCGACUCACUUCCUGCCAGUGAUUUGUGACAUAUUUCCUAGCAGAUCAAAUGAGCCCCUGACACCUGAUUGCCGAGUGCUUCUUGUUUACAGUUGCUUUCCAAGGACACCUAGACAAGAUGGAAAGCUUAACGUGCAGUAAUUAAAUUUGCAUCUGCUCUGUGACAGGACUCAAAGGAAUCCUCCCCCCUCACCCGCUCCUGCCCCAACUCACAUAUGAAUCUCAUUGUAGAGCUCCCACUGUCUUUGACCAUACAGCAUACAGCAUCUAAAAAAAAAAAAAAAAAAAAGGCAAGAUGUGGACAGGUAAACAAACAUUAGUUCAGUCUACUGCCUGUCAUUAAAUGAUGACUAUUAAAUAUGAUUGCUGAUACUCCUUUCUUUUUUCACUUUCUUCUCUUCCCCUGAUUGUUUAACCAGGUUUAUAACUGAUUUUUAAAUAUAAGAACUGUAGCUUGGAGGUGAUUUUUUUUUAUUUUAAUCUUUUUAAAGGAAAGCAAACAUUAUAGAACAAUCUGGAUUGGUUUAACACCCUUUGGAUUGUACAUUUCUCACAAAUGCUAAUGAAUAAUUCAGCAAAGCCAAACACAAUCUGCUGGUGGUAUCUAGUGUUAUUCACACUUGCUAAUGAAUAAUUCCCUUUGGCUUUUAUAGGGCAGCUCUAAGAAGUGACUUCUGAGACUCAGAUGGGUUAUUAUUGGGCUAUUUGUCAGUGUCCUUGGGGCAUUGUGAGCCAAAGCCCAACUUGGCUAUCCAUUCCACAUACCUUCCCCAAUUCUUCUGGGAAACAUGCCACUCUUCCUGUCCCAGCUUUUUAGCCCCAGAAUGUUGUUAUGAAAGAGGCUAGAGCAGAAGAGGCCCUAACAGGAUUCACUCCAUUAUAAUUUCAUUGAUUCUGUCCCUUCAUUGUUUCCUUCAAAUAACUGUUUAUUGAGAAGACCUUAAUAAGUACAAGGUGGAGAGCAUGGCAUUGUGUAUUAUAACAGAGGUCAGGUGGAUUUUGUGUGAUAUGUCCUCAAGUGGAGUAUAGGGUAUGUAGGAGAGGCAUAGGGUCCUGGGGUAGUUUGCUUGGGGGUCUUUGUGUCACAAUGAUCAGUUGUAAUUUUCUCACCAUGUUCUGAGUUCUUAGCUAUGCAGUUUCAGUACAUAUUUGUUAUUGAUGGUGUUGUUGAAUUGGUUAUAUUGUUUUGAAUAAGCCUGAAAGUUAAUUAAUCUUAGGACUGCGUUCAACAUAAGCUCUAUAAAAGAUCCCACAAACAAUUGGGUAAAUUGUUCAUUUCUGCUGAACCCAAGUCGGAAUGUGGUGUGUCCUGGUGUGUGGAGAAUCCAAGGAGGGUGAAUGGAUUUAUUUAUGCCCGAUGUAUAUACCUUAGCAGUCACACUGCAUAAUGUAUAUUCUGAGAGCAGUGAGGUGCACUCAGCCUUGGUGAGGUUGUCUCUGGCAGCUUGUAUCUGUUUCAACUUUUUCUAUUCAAAGUUUUUCUCUUCUUCUUGGGCACAUUGGAAGAUUAUAAUUCCUAGCUUAUUUGCAGUUAGGUGGGAUCACAUUUGUUCUAGCACAUGAAAUGUAACUGGAAGUGAUAGGUAUCAUUUCCUGGUCAAGACAUUUAAGAGAUAGCAUGCCACUUGGAUGCUUUAACUUUUCCUGCCAUAGCUAGUGGCUUUGGAGGGCGUGAGUUCCAGUUGCUGGGAUCUCUAUUAGGCUGAAUUCCAGAAUGAUCGUGUGGAGUAGAGCCCUCUGCUCUCCUACAUUGGCUGAUGCUAGAUGGGUACCUGAGCAAGAACAAGACCCUUGUUGCAUUAAGCCCCUGAGAUUUGGGGGUUUACAAGUAUUUGUUACUACAGUGUCGCUAGACCAUUGUCAUCAAAACAGAGAGAUUAGAAUAGGAAGAGGUGUGUGUAUGUGUUAUGUAGAGUCUGUUAUUAAUGAGAAUUUAAGUAGCUUUGUAGAAUGUUUAUUUUUUAUUUUUUAACUAUAAAUUUUCAAAUUAUAAUUGUAUGGAGAUGAAGUUAAGAUUGCUGAAUGUAAUGUCGAAUAAUUAAAUCAGGUUAAUUAACAUAUCAAUUGCCUAUUUUUUUGUUGAGAACUCUGGAAAUUUGAAUUCAGCAUUUUUGAAAUGUAUAUGCUUUUAUUUACCAUGUUCAGUAUGCUGUGCAAAGUAUCUCAAAGCCCACACACACACACACACACACACACACCAUGUUCUGUGUAGUUGAUGCUUUUGUAUCUUUUGACCAUCAUUCCCUCCACUCUUUCCCCUUUCCUCCCAAUCUCUACUCAUUCCUUAAUUAAAUUCUUUGUUUUCUUUCCAUAAAUUUGUUUGAGUUUUUAUAUAUUUUGGAUAUUAACACCUCAUCAGAUGUGUGUCUUGAAAAAUAUUCUCCUAAUUGUCUCCAUUUGUCAUUUCUUUUAUUAUGCAGAAACUUUAUUUUAAUGUAAUUCCAUUGGUCUCUUUUUGCUUUUAUUGUCUAUGCUUUUGGGGUCAAAUCUAAAAAAAAAAUAAUUGCCCAGGCUAAUGUUAAGUAGCUUUUCCUCUGUGUUUUUCUCAUAGUUUUAUCAUUUCAGGUCUUCUGUUUAAUUCUUUAAUCCAUUUUGAGUUUCGAGUUGUGUUUUAUAUAGAGUGUGAUGCAUAAAGGCCCCGUUUCAUUCUUUUGCUUAUGUGGAUCCAGUUUUCCUGAUACCAUUUACUGAAGAGACUGUUCUUUUUCAAAUAUGUAUACUCCGUACCUAUAUUAAAAUUAAUUGACUUUAAUGUAUGAGUUAUUACUGGUUUUCUAUUCUGUUCCAUUGGUUGAUGAAUCUAUUUUUAUGCCAGUACCUUACUGUUUUAAUUACUACUGUUUUGUAAUAUAGUUUGAAAUCCAGUCUUCAGCUUUGUUCUUUGUGGCUACCUUGGCUGCUCAGUGUUUCUCUGUGGCACAAGUAGUUGAAAUGGCCAGGGCGGGUCAGGUUGAAGCCAGGAGCCAGGAGCUUCAUCCAGGUCUUCCAUGUGGGUGCAGGGACCCAAGCACUUGGGCCAUCUUCCGCUGCUUUCCCAGGCACAUUAGCAGGGAGCUGGAUGGGAAGUGGAGCAGCUGGGACUUGAACCAGCACCCAUAUGGUAUGCCAGCAUUGCAGGCAGUGGAUUAACCAAUUAAGCCACAAUGCCAGACCGAUUUUGUCCUUUCUUGCAGAACAUAGUUUUAAGUAAGAACUGAAGGGACAGAAAAUGAGUUUGUUUCAUGAAUUACUAAGUAAUUUGUUGGAGAAAUAACAUUGGUGUAAACAGAGUCAUGAAUAAUUAGUAAAAGAGGCAGAGUUGAGUUGAGGCUUUCAUAACUUAUAUUAAUGAAUUUUAAAUUGUGCCUAACAUGUUUAAAUGAUAAGAUUGUGAACCUGCAGUUGUUUUCUUACUAAUUAAGUUUUCUUGUAAUCAGUUGCAUUUGCAAACCUGCUUAGAUCUUAUGCCAGGCCUCUUUUUUUUUUUUUUUUACAUUUUUUUUUUAAAGAGUGUAAAGAAAAAAUAAUUGGAAGAAGAGUAGAUAACAUGGUCACACUUUCUACAAAGGUUAUCAAAAAAUAUUACACUUAGUAAAAUGGAGUUUUGGGAACUUGAAGUCUUUAUUAGUUUAUCUUUUGGUAUAGCAUGGUACAUGGCAACGUAGUACAAGCUCAGAACAAGUUUAUUGAAUUGUAUACAGAACAUGGAACAUACGGAAGACAUUUUUUGAAGGUUUUUAUUUAAUGAAUACAAAUUUUCGUAUGUACAGCUUUUAGGGAUAUAGUGUAUCUUUCCCCCAUUCUCACCCUCCCACCCACACUCCCAUCCCAUCUCCCACUCUCUCUCCCAUUCCAUUUUCCAUUAAAAUUCGUUUUUAAUUGACUUCAAAUACAGAAGACCAAUUCUUUACUAAGGAGAGAUUUCAACUAUUUGCACCCACAUGACACACAAAGUAUAAAGUAUAGUUUGAAGACAAGUUUUACCAUUAAUUCUCAUAGUACAGAGAGAAGGACGGAGGCCCAUCAUGGGGAGCAAGUGCACAGUGACUCCUGUUGUUGAUUUAACAACAGACACUCUUAUAUUUGACAUCAGUGAUCACCCGAGGCUCUUGACAUGAGCUGCCAAGGCUAUGGAAGCCUUUUGAGUUCACAAACUCUGUCGGUUUUUAGACAGGGCCAUAUCCAAAGUGGAAGUUCUCUCCUCCCUUCAGAGAAAAGUACAUCCUUCUUUGAUGGUCCCUUCUUUCCACUGGGGUCUCACUCAUAGAGAUCCUUCAUGCAGUACUCUUUUUGCCACUAUGUCUUGACUUUCCAUGCCUGAAAUACUCUCGUGGUGUUUUCAGUCAGGCCUUAGGUGCUUAUUUUGAGGUCAGAGUGCUGUUUAGGGUGCUUGUCAUUCUAUGAGUCUGCUGUGUGGAUUGCUUCCCAUGUUGGAACUUUCGCUCCUUUGUAAUUCUAUCUAUUGUUAUUACCAGGCACUUCAUCUUAUUUAUGUGAUCCCUUUGACUGAUGGUUCUAUGUAUAUGAUCAAUUUCAUACUUAAUAUGAUCACUUUAUCACAUAAGAUGGGAUUAGUGCCACCCAGCUAAAUGGGAUUUGGAGUCCCAAUGCAAGUUUUUAGCUUCACCUUUAGGGGUAGGUCUAUGGGAUUGUGUGCUGAUGUGCUCCUCCCUCUCUCAUUCCCACUCUUAUUUUUAACUGGGGUUUAUUUUCAAUUGACUUAAUACAUCUAUGAUUAAUUCUAUGUUAAGUAAGGAAUUCAGCCAACGAUAUUAAGUAGAAAAAAAAAGAAUAAUGGGGCGAGUGCCAUGGCGCAGUAGGUUAAUCCUCUACCUGUGGCGCCAGCAUCCCAUAUAGGUGCUGGUUCUAGUCCCAGCUGCUCCUCUUCAAAUCCAGCUCCCUGCUGUGGCCUGGGGAGGAAGUAGAGGAUGGCCCAGGUCCUUGGGCCCUUGCACCCAUGUGGGAGACCAGAAAGAGGUGCCUGGUUCCUGGCUUCAGAUCAGCGUACCUCUGGCUUUGCGGCCAUUUGGGGAGUGAACCAAGGGAGGGAAGACCUUUCUCUCUGUCUCUCCUUCUCACUGUCUGAAAAUUUAACUCUCAAAUAAAAUGAAUAAAUUAAAGAAUAAAAAGAAUAAAAAAAUUAGGUAAAGUGAAAUAAUACAGUGCUCCUCGACAGUCAAGACAAGGGCUGUUCAAGUAAUUGAGGAAGACAUUUCAGAGAAUUAGAACUGAGAAGAAAUGAAAAUUGUAGAUGUGGGGCCAGUGUUAUGGUGCUGCAGGUAGUUGCCACCUGAUUUGUGUCUUUGCUGCUCCACUUCUGAGCCAGCUCUGUGCUAAUGGCCUCAGAAAAGCAGUGGAAGAUGGCCCAAGUGCUUAAGUCUCUGCCAACCAUGUGAGAGACCUGGAUGAAGCUUCUGGUUCCUGGUUUUCGCCUAGUUCAUGCUGGCCAUCUGGGGAGUGAACCAGUGGAUAGAAAAUCUCUCUGUCUUUCCCCACUCCCCAUAUGGGAUGCCGGCACUGCAGGUGGUGGCUUUGCCCGCUAUGCUACAGCGCCAGCCCCAAUAUUCAUUUUCAAAUAAAUGUCAUAUUUUGGAAAGUUUUAAAGAUAGGAACUCGUACUUUGAAACCAAAUUAUUGUUAGUGUGUUGUUAAUCUAUUAGGUGUCACGUUUUGGUUUUUCUUUUUUUCUGGAAACAUUCACAUUUUUUUUUUUGGAACUUAUACAAGUAGCUGUCUCAUCACUCACUCAUAAGUAUAUUUGUAUAUAUGCAAGAGAAGUGAAAAGUUAUCAUCUGUGCAGAAAUUUGCUCACAAAAAAUGAUUCAUAAUAGCAAAAAAAAAAAGAACGAACCCAAAAUGUCCAUCAGCUGAUGAGUGCAUUAACAAAUGGUCUAUCCAUAUUAUGGAACAUUAUUCUGCAAUAAAAAUGAAUGAAAUUCUGAUCUGUGCUAUAGCAUGUGUUAAUGUUGAAAGCUUUGUGCUAUGCCAAGCACAAAAGACUAUGUAUUAUAUGAUUCAGUUUAUAUAAAUUGUCUGUAACAGGCACAUAUAUGAAGAUAGGAAGUGGGUGAGUGAGGCCAAGGGGUGGGAUAGGGUGAGGGGGAAUCAGGAGUGAGUGCUGGUGUGUGAAGUAGUUUCUUUUGGGGUUAUCACAAAGUCUUAAACUUGGAAUGUGAAUGUGGUGAUUGUUGCAUCAUUCUUUGAGCCACUAAAAACUAUUGAAUUGUACACUUCAAGUGGGUAAAUUUUAUGUAAUGUGAAUUAUAUUUCAGCUAUUAGCCAAAAUAAAUCUGCCAUGGAUUACUCGCUUUCUAGUGGUGCUGCUGAUUAAACACACCCUUACUAAAGUGACAGGAUUUGAACCUCUUCUAUUUUACCUUCUACAACUAAGAUUUUCCUAAAAACAAAAUUGAUUUAUAGUCAAAUUUCCUUUGAUCCAGCCAUUCACCUUACAUGAAUUUAUUUCACUUUGUAUACUGGCACAUAUGCACAAAGACAUUUGUAUAAGAAUAUUCAUUGGCAUUAUUUGUAGUGGCAAAACCUAAUAAAUAAUCUAAACAUUUAUCAAUAGGAGAUAGGAUAAAUAAAUUAAAGAAGAUGAAGCUAGGGAAUUUGAAACAGUCUUCAAGAUGUUUAGAAAUGCUAGAGAUUCAAUAGUGUUUACCUCUUUGGGAGGGAAAAUUUUGAAUGGAGAGGGAUAGCUUUUUGCAGAGUUAUACUUUUCUUUUUAAAGUUUAUUUAUUUGUUUUUCAUCUAUUUGAAAGGCAGAGCAAGUUAGGAAGCGGGGAAAGAGAUAAAGAGAUCCAUCCUCUGGUUUAAUCCCCAAAUGCCUGCAACAGCCCGGGCUGGGCCACGCUAAAGCCAGGAUCCCAGAACCCUGUCUGGGUCUCUCAUGUAGAUGGCAUGGGUCCAAACACUUGACCCAUAAUCUGCUGCCUAGGAAACUGUGGAUUGGAAGUAGAGUAGUCAGGACUGGAACCCAGGCACUCUGAGAUGGAAUGCAGGCAACCCAAGCAGCAGCUUAACCUUCUGUGCCACAAAUUUUGCCCAUAAGAGUUUUUUAAAACGUAUUUUUUUAUAGUGCUAGCUUCGGCAGCACAUACAGUAAAAUUGGAGAGAAGAUUAGCAUGGCCUCUGUGCAAGGAUGACAUGCAGAUUUGUGAAGCGUUCUAUAUUUUUGAUUGGAUAGGCAUAUUGGCACCAGUGUCGGUUCUGUCCUAUAGUUAGUGUUCCCCAGAGUUAGUUACGCCCCUUCCACCUGCCCUUUAUAAUGUGCGUGCCUGUGAAUAAACCCAGACAUGUUCACAGAAAAAAAUAGCAGCAUUAUUCAUAAUAGCCAAACAGUAAUUAUACAGAUGUCUGUCAACUUAUGAAUGAAUAAACAAAAUGUGGUCUAUCAGUACGUUGGUGUAAGUAGGGUAGGAGGAGAUUUGAAUAUAAAUCAAUUUUGUUUUGAGGAAAUCUUGAAAAGGAAGUUGGUGCUCAACUAUCAUCGUUAACAUUUUAAAAAGGUGAUUUCUGGAGUGCAACUCAGCCCAAAUAAAAUAAACACUAAACAACAUAAACCAAAAAACAAAUCUUGCAUCUGUUUGUACAUACCCCUUUUCAGUUCAUGUGGAAUAAUUUGUAUUAGAACUCAUCCCACUUCAGCCCCUCCGCCACGAAUGGUGUGGCAAUUAUGUGGUUCCACAGUAAUUUUUACACUGUCUUCUAACUCAGCUGUGUGGUAGUAGUGUAUCUGCAGGCCAGGCAUGUGGCUUGCAGGGGACAAUAUCAGACUGCCCACAAUUAUUUUAAUGUCUCCUGUGAAAUGAUUAAUGAAGUUUAUAGUUAUAAUAAAAAUAAACUCAUUCCCCCCCAAGCUAUAAGAGGGUGCAAGUAAAAUUCAUAUAGUCAGAUGUGACUACCCCCACCUUUAUAAGAACAUUGAGGACUUUUUUUUAAAUCAAGGAUUGCUUUUUUGAUGUGGACAUUUACUUGAUUUAGCCCAUUAAAGUUAAAUAUGAAAACAUUCUAGGAGUUAUACUUGCUCCUAUAGUUACACUUCUUUGCUGUUGGUAUAAUCCCAUAUAAAAAAAAUGAAACUUCUUGCAAGUUUUGCAUCUGUCUUGGUUAUUUUAUAACACUAACUUUGUAAAUUAUGAAAUAUUUGCUGGGAUUUCUCGUGGUUCCAGGAGGACCCAUAAUUGGGCUAUAAGUCCUACAUUUUAUUAUCUGGUGUUACUCUUGGUGUGGUUUUUUUUUUUUUUUUUUUUCCUACCUAGUGUAAAUCCUCCAGCCAGCCUGCACACUGACUCACUAAGACUGCCGUCUGGAGAGGUGAGCAGUUGGUGUUUGGAGUGUUUAACACAGGGCCCACAGCUGUAAUUUAGACAUCUCUGUGAGAAAGAGCUCAGUGGGCCAUGCCUCACCAUUUCCUCAGCUAGGAAGUAUGGGACUGCAGAAGCAAAUUCCCUGUCCCCCGCCCCCAAAAUCUGCCUUCCUUCCCUAGCCCCCCACUUUCUCGAUCUGCAGCUUUCUCCUGUUCUGUGAGCCUAAGGUUUUUGCUUUUUUUUUUUUUUUUUUUGAGAAGAAAUUCCACUUUCUUCAUGUUCCUGCUGCUUACCACCUACUGACCCACAGCCAGAGGCUGCUCCUGCUGCAGUUUCAACAUUUGCAGCACAUGGCAACUUGCUUUCUGCAACUGACAUCUUUAUUUAAUUGUUUAAAAAUUGAUCUGGGAGACAGAGAGCAAAAGAGGGAAAGGUAGACAGGCCAGAGCCAAAGCUAGGACCUGGGAAAGCAGACCAGGUCUCCCACUUAGAGCCAUCUAUGCUGCCUCCCAGGGUCUGCAGUGGCAGGAAACUGGAAUCAGGAGGCGCAAGUGGUUAUCACAUACAGGUACUCCAAUGUGGAAUGCAGAUGUCUGAACCUGAGUCUCAACUGUUAGGCUAAAUGCUCACUCCUAACUUUUAUGUUCUGUGUGUAUUGUUAGAGAAGAGUUCUUCUUGGAGCAAGGCCCUAUUCAUGAAUUUUGUAAGGUUAGAUGCUUUAUUACUGUCAUUGAUAUAAACACUAGUACUGUUAGAGUCGUUUUGAGUCAGACCUCCCCAUAAUACAGCUGAGGCAUACUGAGGCCCAAAGAGUUUGUUGUCUUUUAAGAUUACACAGCCACUUAAUUACAGAGCUGAAUCUGUAAUUGAGAAUUCCAGAUCAUGAACUCUUUUCAUAAACCGAGCUGCCAUAGGUACCCAAGAGACAUUGAAUUUAAGGGUAAAUUUAUGGUGAAUUAGGAGAGGAAUGCUAAUAGUGGGAUGAGCAAUUCUCCAUUAAAACACCUGUACAAUGAAAUGCUCAGGAAAAAAAGUAAAGCUGAGACACUUAAAAUAGCGUUUACUUCCACUGUAAUCAGGAAGAAACAAAUUUUCAUUUGUUACAUUUCUGAUCUGAGAGUACAUUAAAAGAUUUGUGGAAAAUGUGCGUUAUUUUUAAUUCCAUGCUCCAUGAGCUCAUGGAAGAACCCUGAUAGUGCCUAAAUAUGCUUCCUGGCACUUCUGCAACAGCUUACUGACAGUUUGAGACUAUUGCUUCGUGGUAAUUCUUCCUUUUGGUAUCAGUGCUAGCGAAGGCAGACGACACAGGGCACAAGAAGAACUCGUAGCAGAACAACUGUACAAAUAUCAUUUCAGAUGGCUGUAGGCAAGCCAGAAGCCCCAUCUUUCCUAGGUAGAAGGGCUGACCUGUUACUAUUGCUAGUUGUGUGUACAACAUGUGUUAGAAGAAGUAAUUAUUUUUAGCUGACUGACUAUGACCAAGAUUAAUAGCUCUUGAAAGGGCCAUAAUGAAAGGCUGCCCUGACCGGCUUCUACAUUAUUCUUUAUUUAUCCUGCUCUCAUCCCUGUCACCUUUGGGCAUCAGCCAAAUGUCAUUUAUGUGAGAUGUGCCCCUUGGAUGUGAAAGGCCUCUUUUUCUUAAUGAUGGGAAGCGAUUGGGGUGCAGGGCUGAGGAACCCGGACAGUUGACGUGACCUAGAGGGACAUCCCCCCAGGACCAUGGGAGUCACAGAAACAGGUCACAUAAUCCUGAGGGAGGAGGAACAGGAGGGUAUUUAGCUGUCUGACCCAGACCAUUGAGGUGUACUUGAGGGCCUAGAGGGAGGACUUCCAGGGCUCCACUGUCAAGUCCAUAUGUUUCCAUGGCUGUUCUGUUUGGAGCAUCUGAAAGUUUCUUAUUCCAGUGAGAAGUUUUUUGAUUGAAAUCCUCAUCUAUUUCUAUUUUUUUCAAGACUAGGAAUCUGCUUGUGGUGGAGAGGGCAAGUUGACGCUCAGGUGCCUUCUUGCCUCUUUUUUGUCUUGGACAUUUCUGGGCACAAUAACUGCCCAAGGCGCUGGUUGCAUUUCCAGUCCUCCCCUGCAGCUGGGUGUGGCCAUGUGACAAAGUGAGAGGAUGCAUCCUCUGGUCGUUUCUGGGGAGUUUCCUUCAGAGAAAGCUGGUAUGUGCCCUUUGUUCUUUUCUUCUGGGCCCUUCUUUUAUCCUCUGUCUGGAAUGUAAAUGCUGUGUUUAGAUCCUGGUGGUGAGGGACAGUCCUUAGGGUGUGAGUUGGGAGGGGCCCGAGUCCCUGAGGACUUCCUGGCAACCACCAUAUCAGCCUGGUUCAGCCACUGUUAUUUUGGCUCUUCUUUUCCCUUUCCCUUCCCUUUUACUUUCCCUCCCUUCCCCUCUUUAGGAUAUAUUUAUUUAUUUGAAAGGCAGAGUGACAGAGAUGGGGGGCGGGGAGAGAAGAGGAGUGUGUGCAAACACUUCCAUUUGGGGUCAGUCCCCAAAUACCUACAACAGUCAGGGGUGGGCCAGGCUGAAACCAGGAACCAGGAACUCAAUCCAGGUCUCCCAUGUGGAUGAUGGGAGCCCAAGCACUUGAGCCAUCUUGUGCUUCCUUCUCAGGCACAUUAGCAGGAAGCUGGAUCGGAAGCGGGCUAGCUAGGACUUGAACUGGCUCUCCAGGAUGGAAUGGUGGCAUCACAAGUGGCAGCUUAACCCACUGUGGCACAAUGCCAGUCCCUGUUUUAGAUUUUCUGUCACUUGUAGUCAAACCUUAACCAAACCGCACUGCACAAAAGCAAAAUAAAUCCUAGGACCUUUGAUUUCCUUUCCCCAUGCUAAAUCUUAAUACACAAAUUUAAAUAGAUCCUUCUCCUUUCCUUUCGAACCUCUACAAAUUAAAACAUAUUUAAAAAGAUAGUGUAGUAACUUAAUAAAGAACUAAAGACGUGGGAGAGAUACUAGUAUUGGAGAUAUGUGAGAAGGAGAUUAGCAAGAAUGCUAGAAUGCAAAACAGCGUGUUUGGGACUGGUUGGAACAGCCUUGUGGGAGCCUCACCACCUUGCAGCACCCGUUUAUUUAAGGUUUAUUCGAGGGCCUCUGGGACUGAACUUCAUCUGCUUUCUUAGGGCCCUAGGGAGCUUUUUUACAUUCAGAUUUCAGAUGUCAACUCUAUUGAGGACUUCUACUUCUAGGUCCCUGGCGUGGUGCUGCUGUGCAUGUUUUGCCUGACUGUCUUGAUUUUGGCUAAAGUGUUUGCCUGUGGCCAUCUUAGUCCUCUAAUACUAUUUCUAUUAGAUAAUGUGUGCUCUACUAGCCAUGGUAGGUUACAAAUUAUUACGAACCCAACCCUUUUAAAAGAGAUGCUGAGAUGUGUAGUUAUUUUUCACGAUUUUUUAAACUUGAAAGAGCAGAGCAACUGUUUGGUUCACUGUUCUCAUUAGCAUUUAUAAAGUGAACUGACAGGAGAGUUUUCUGUGCAAUGUUUUUCCUGUUUCUUGCCUUUUAAUUUGAAGAAUAGCAGGAUCUUGUCUUUUGUUCACACGAGUAAAAGUCCACUGAGCUGGAAAAGGAACAGUGUGCUCUUUGUGUACUCAGAGCAUUUGAAUGCUUUUGGUCACACACUAGUUGCUGUUUAACGACAAUAAAAUUGUGACCGAAGGAGAUAAACAUUUAAAGGAUAAAUGACAGGGUUGUUAAUCUGAAAGCAAGUUUUGGAGCAUUGUUGUUUUUAGCUAAUAGGUAUGUAGCCAAGAGUCACAGAGAUGGUUUUUUAAGUCUGAAACUGAAUGAAGUCAGUGUUUCCAACCAGUAGAAAGAAAAAUCAUCACUGGACUGCUUUUAGAUUGAUUUUUAGAUUGACAAAUAAAAACUCUGUUAGUAUACAAAUAUAUUUGUGAUGUACAACACGAUGUUUUGACAUGUGUAUGUAUGUUGUAGAUUGGCUAAAUCAAACUAAUUUAUUACCUGAAAUAAUUACUGUUUUUCUUUUGUUGACAAGAAUACUUAAAAAUCUCUCGUAGCAAUUUGCAAACACACCAUACAUUGUUGUUAUCUAUAGUCAUCAUGUCAUACAGUAGAUCACCUGAAUGUCACUGGAUGUUUUUAAUAGCUGAUUAUUUUGUGUUUGGAAAAAUAAUUUAAACACAUCUAAACAAUCUUUGGAAGUGUUUGGAAAUUUUCCUUGCUAAGCCUGGCAUAUAUAUCUCUAUAUAUAAUUACCCAAGUAUAUUAUUUAAGAAACGUUCCUUUGGGGCUUUUGUUAAGUCUUAAGAAUUCAGAAUUUGCUCCAUCUCUAUCCCUGUGAAUAGAAUUAUGAUGCACCUGUCCUGUGGUGGAGGGAAAGCAUUGUUGGUAUCUUUCCCUCUCUGAAAAGAUAUAAAGGACAAAUCUCAAUUCCUCUUGUUUGUUUUCUCUCCAUCAUAUGCAACUAAAGUCUGACAAGUGACCCUUUGAGAAGAGAUGCUUUUGGUGAGGGUAUUCCAUUAUGGAGUGCUACUUAUUUUCAGGGGUAUGAAAUGCACAAGGUUUCACUUGUUUGUUGUAGCAGCGUACUGGGGUGUAUUUUGCCUUAUCUUACUAUUUUUUUUGUAUUAUUCAACCUUUCCCCAGGAUAAAAAAAAUAAAAUUAAUCAUGGCAUAUUUUACGAAUGCAUUUUCCUUUCAUAUAGUUGUAACUUUUUACACAACAAGAAUCUUUAAACUAAGCCUGCCUAUCAGAUAGAUGUGAGAAGGUUGACGAAAGCUGAAACUGUCUCAGUUUAGGGGAGCCGGCAGCAGCUCAUACUCUCAGUGGUGAACUAAGAAGUACAUACACUGCCUGAAGGGACCCAGGCUCCAUGCAUGAAUGUGGACCCAGUGUUGCAGGCAUUUAGAGUUUUCAAAAGAAUCUGAGAAUGUGGAGUUUUAUUUGAAAACUUCUUAUUGUAAAGUGUUGUCUACUAAUUGAAAUUUAAAGCCUGUAUGGUUUUACUGUACCUCAUCUGCAGGCUGGAAGGAAUGGGAAGGGGAUUCUGUCUUUUGUGUCCUCUGUUUUUUGGAGAGAUUAUGUACACAUUAUAGCCAUAGAAGCUGAGGAUUGCUGUUCAGAAAGGCUGACCAGCCCAGUGGAAACAGAUAGGGUGAUAUUUGGGAGUAUCUAAAGAAAAGGCUAGGAUUGAGGCCCAUCAGUUGACUGACUAAACUUCUACACAUUCAACCUUCAGUUCAUUUUGUAUUACUUCACUUGAAAUUAUGAACUCAUAGACAAGGAUCGUCAAACACUGAGGAGUGCUUCUCUCUUCCUCACUCUCUGUAACUCUGAUUUUCAAAUAAAUCUAAAAAAAUUUUUAGAAAAUAAGAUAUUUUAUGUAUAUGUAUAUGUAUUAUAUACAUAAGACAGGAACAAGAUGUUAAUGAAAAGGAACAUAACGUUACUUUUAGUUAAUGAUCAUGUAUUGUAAUAUUUUCUUUUAAAAAUGUCAUUCUUAUGUAUUAGAGAUACAUACCAAAGAAAUACAAGUGAAAUAUUUGGGAUUUGCUUUGAGAUAAUCUAGAAGAAAAUGUAGGAUAGGGAAGAAAUGAAAUAACACUGGCAAAAUGCUAAUAAUUGCUGAAGUUAUAUAAUGAAUACGUUAUAUACUUUAUAUAUGUUAUAUAAUGAAUACAUUAUAUAACUUUUUUUUUUUUAUUUGAAAGAGAGAGAGAGACAAAGAAAGAAAGAGAAAGAUAUUGAGAUCUUACAUUUACUGUUUCACUCCUCAAAUACCCACAACAGCCAGGUCUGGGACAAGCCAAAACCAAAAUCCUGGAACAGAAUCUGGGUCUCUCGUGUGGGUAGCAGGAACCAAGUACUUGAGCCAUCACCUGCUGCCUCUCAGGGUGUCCAUUAGCAGGAAGCCAGAUCAGAAGCAGAGCCUGGACCCAAACCCAUGCACUCUGAUAUGGGAUGCCAGUAUCCCAAGAGCUAUUUUAACCACUUUAAUAAAUACCUACCCCCAUGGGGGUUUUUAAAUGCAAUUUUCUCUACUUUUGUGUCUUUGAAAUUUUCCAUUAUAGAAUAUUUAAAAAGGGAACAUUUACAGAGCCAGAAAGAGCUCCCCAAAAUGAAAAAUGGUAACAGAAAUAAAGAUUUUAAUAAAAAAAGUAGAACAAAAAAAGACAAAGCAAUCAAAAGGAAGAGAGAAAAGAUGAAAUUACAGGGUCUGUCCAAGGGUUCCAGUAUUUAACUGUAGGAGUUACAGAAUGACAAUCAGAAUAUUCGAAAGGAAGAAUUUAAUCAAAGAUAUAAUACAAGAUCAUUUUCUUGACAUGAAAGACAUGACUUCCCAGAUUAAAAGGGUCCAUUGAGUCCCCAACAUAAGGCAUGAAAAAAUGACCCCAUUGAGACGCAUUUCAUUAUGGCUUUUCAGAACCACAGAGGAAAAGGCUGACAUGCAGCACUCAUCUUUGCUUUCACUAGGCUGUAUACCCUGAGGUCCAGGGUCCUCUGGGUCAACAGCACCAGACAAUUAAGCUCAUUUUUUGCUUGGUUACUAAUGUUGUGGUUAUCUGGCUUUGGGAUCAAAAGAAGGUAUCAUCCGGGUCUAACCUCUCCUUAUAGACUUCCAGCUUGUCUUCCUGUGAUCAGCUGUACUUCUCAAGGUGCACCUGUAAGAAGCCCUGGUCCUUGUACUUCCUGAGCCUCUCUCAAGUUGGUGGUGUGAAUGAGUUCACUUCUUACUGGCCUUCCCCUUUUCUCCAUGAGUCCUUGCCUUACCUUUCUGCUCUGUUACAUUAGUUACCAUUAACAAACAUGGGGUUGGCAUCUUUCAUUUGCUAAUAUCUUUUGUCCCAUUUUCUUUGUCCUUGGAAAUUUUUAUUGUUUUUUUCCUCAUUUCUUUACAAGCAUUUCAGUAAGAUUUUGAGGAGUCAAAUGCAUGUUUUGAAUCCACAGUGUUUAAAUGGAAGUCCGUUUGUUGUCUUCAUCAUUAAUUUGGACAUCAGUUUCUUUUCCUAAGAUUUAUUUGGAAAUCAAAUUAAACCAAGAAAAUAGUUUAACAUGUAGAAAAUAAUUUCUGCCUUCCUGAAGUCUUCCUUGGUGAGUGCCACUCAGAUUGGUUUGUUUUUACCUUUAGUGAAAUUGUGUGGCCCUGAAAGACUUCCGCUGAAUUUGGUGGUGGAUUCUAUGCUGUUUCAGGUCUUACUCUAAGCAUUUGAUGUGCACUUUGUUACCCACCUAGAUUGCAGAUUACAUAGCACCCGUGAGUACUGGGUGAUAUCUUACUCUGCUCCUGUAUUCCCUCUGGCUCCUGCUGGAUCUGAGUCCAAUAAAUACUUGCUAAUUAGAGUAUAUGCCUCAAAUUUUUAUUACUUUGUUUUAUAUAUGUUGUAUGUGAUUCUGUUUCAGUGUCUCUCAGCCUAUUACUUAGAGAUUAGUAGGCAAAAAGUAAAUAUAUAAUGAGUAAGAUUUGGGGGUCAUAUUGAUAAGUUAAAUAUCAUUGGUCUCCAGCUUCAAAAGUAUUUUUUUUAAAUUGCAAAUUUUCUGUUGUGUUUAGAAAGAUGGGGGAUAGAGACCUGACUAGUCAUUAUGGGGGGCGGGGGGAAUCUGGGACUUGAGCUCUGAUUUUAGACUUCUGUUGGCGGCCUACUUCACAGUGGGUUUGCUUAAUGACUUGCCUGUUAGCAGGCACUCCUGUCUAUUUUAAGCUACUGCCUUUUAGCACAGGAUACCUACAAUUGUUCCAAGUAUGCCUCCCUUGUAUAAGUAACAAUGCUGUCAUUUUCUCUAAAGUCCGCCUUUUUAUUAAAGAAACUCUUUAAUAGUUGCACAUAUUCUGUGGUUAUGCAUUUCUGUGAGUGCCUGCCGACCCCAGCACAGUGUUUAAUAAAUUAUUGAACUUUGAAGAACCUUUGAGAAGCAAAGGCUUUAUGUGACUGAGCAGCAGACAUGAAAAAACGCUAUCCUCCAGAGUAUCUAACAGACAGAAAUAGAGGCUUGAUCAGACAAUAUAAGCACCGAGUGAAUGAUGGUAAUACCAUGAAAUAUUUACACGCCUAGCACAUGCUAUGGUAGGGAGGAGGAUGUGUGGGUUUUUAUCGUUUUGAGUUGAACCUGAUGCUGUACAAUUCCCCACUCUAUGAUCUUAAAAGCAAAAUGGAGAGAAAGAAAAAAAAAUAUGAGAGAGAAAAAGAAAGGAAAAGGAAAAUAUAAAAGGGAGUGAAGAACAUUUAUUUGUAGAUAUUUUAUUGUUUGCAAAAAUAUCUACAGUACAAAAGCAGGAUUCCUUUUGUAGUCAGUAGCUUUACUAGGAGUCAAGUUUCAAUCAGUCUUUAAAAGAAACUAAAAGUCUCUGAAAUGCUUUCUUGGAGCCACAAGCUUAAAGUUUUAAUUUAAUCAGCAUCUCAUGAUUUAACAUGCUUUAAAAGUUAUCAUUUUACUUUAUGUAAAAACACUUAAAUAGCAAAGAACUGACUAUCCUAAUAUGAUCUCACUUUCAAACAGAACAUGCACUUCGUGUUUUCCCGAAAUGCUACUUUAAAUUGGCUUGUGGUGAAUUUCUUUAGGAAUAAUGCAGCACAGAAAAAAUGCAGCACAACAAAAAAUAAUGCAGGCACGUGAUGGAAUGCCUGGAUUACUCAGGACAGGUGUGUAAGCUAUUUAUCUGAGCUAAUAUAUGUAGAGAAUUUCUGAUAUCUUCCGUAUAGAAAAAGGGCUAAAACAAAUGCGCCAGAGAGAUUUGUCUUGUCCCUCUGCCCAGUGUUAUAAAACUUAUGAUAAGCCUUAUAUGAUUUUGUGGUAUUAUUAAUAUUACUAAAAGUAGCUAUUGUUAGUGAUGAGUAAGAGUUGACCAAUAAUUUGCCUUAUUGAAUUUCAUUUCACUCCAGCCUUAUCUAAAAACCCCUAAGACUAUUCGGGAGACAUUUUAAUGUUUCAGUUCUAGUUUUUGGUUUUUAGCUAUUUAAGAAGAAUUGAAUCGUGUUGUAAUAAGGAAGCUCAGAGUGACCCUAGGCAUUGCUGUCCCUGCCCUGGAUGUUUGCUAGGCAUUGUGCUGAGCUAGGCUGUUUGUCUCCAGGAUCACAUUGACCUCAGUGGGCAAGUUUCCGUUGCUUUUAAAGUCAAGGGAGUAUGAGUAACAUCGGAAGGGAAACUUUGGUGAGAUUCUCUGUUGCUCUUGUAUGAUUUUGUUCAUAGAUCUUAAGUAAGGGCUCUUUGAAAGAGCUUUCCUCUUUGUAAUGCAAGAACCCAUUGCACACAAAGAAGUUGGUAGUCUGAGGCCCUAGGAUCAGUGAAUUGUGAUACACAGCUAUUUGUGAAAGGAUUUGUCAAAAUGAAACAGCAAAAGCAAUAUUGUUUUUGUGCAUUUAUUAUUUUUGUUGCCAAAAGGAUGCCCUGAAAGAACUGGGAUUUUAAAGUUUGAAUGAUGUGGAUUUAAAUCCUGUGUCUGCCACUUAUUUGACUUCUGGCAAGUCAUGGACCUAAGAGUCAAUUUUCUUAUCUCCGAAAGUGGGAAUAGUGAUAAUUUACUUCUCUGUGUUCUAAGCAUUCAGUACAGUACCCAGCGUGUGGAAGGCACUCAGUAAGUAUUAGCUCCUUUCCCUUCCUCUUCAGUUAAACCAAAAAGACUUUUUUCAGGAGGUGAGACUUUUAGAAGCUCUUGAUUGAUGGCGGGAAUGAGUCAGUGAACCAGAAGAAGGGCACUCAAGGCCUGUGGACAACCAAGUGAGAAAGUGAGAAGUGGGGUGUGUGUGUGUGUGUGUGUGUGUGUGUGUGUGUGUAUGUGAAAUGCAGAGAGAGAGUAGGUGGACAGACACGUGGACUGAGUUUACUGACUCAUAGAGGCAGAUUUGAUACUGGCAAUUUGAGAUAUCACCUGAAUUUCUACUGCCAUUUGCUUUUCAGAAUUGGAAUUGAGAGCAUAUGCAAAGUUGAGAAUUUAUUUCUCCCUGUCCUCUUCCUGAACGGCUGACUCUUUUCAAGUGCAAAAUGUUAGAAAUGUUUGGUCUGAUACAGGGCAAAUCAAGGGCUUACCUCAGAUUCUGUCUCUGACCAUAACAGGUAAAGGGAGACUCCAUUGCUCAUAUUUUUAGUGUGGUUGGUAUCCAUACCAGAUUUCGAGGUGCUACCCAUGUCUUCAUCUUGUAGAUUUUUAAAUGAGGCUUAUAUUCUGAGGAUUCAGUGAGGACAGACCCAAGUCCCUUGCCUCAUCGAAGUUAACAUUCUGUUAGCAGCAGCAAGCUAGUGAAGAAGCAAACCAUAUUUAAGGUAGUAAAUAACACCAGGUCUCAUAGUGGUACAGUGCAGUAUGGUAAUGACUGGAGGGGACUGACUACUUUAGUAGAUGUGAAGUCUUAAGGAUGACAAAGACAUUCAUUCCUGCCACAGAGACAAAGCUCCAAGGUGCUGCUAAGCUUUGCAUGUAGGAGGCGUAUUGGUGGUCAGAGGCCAGAACUUAGGGAGAGAGACAAAGGGAGAAAAUGAAGCCAGAUCACACUAGAGCCUUUAGGCAGAGGUAAAGAUUUAAGUUUUACUCCAGGUCUGAUGUUACCUAAGCUCAUUGGGAGUAUGCAUGUAGGUAUGUAUUUACAUUUGAGAGGAAGAGACAAAGAAAGAGACAUGGUCCAUUGACAGGCUCAUUUCCCAAGUGCCUGCAGCAACUCCAGUUGGGACAGGCUACACCUGGGAGCCAGGGACUCAUCCAGGUCUCCCACAUGGGUGGCAGAGUCCCAAUCACUUGAGCCAUCAUCAGUGAGUGUCUGCCAUAGCAGGAAACCGGCGUGAGGAGCAGAGCUGGGAAUUGAACCCAGGUCCUCCUGUGUGGGAUGCUGGCAUCUUAACCACUAAGCCAAAUGCUCACCCCCAUUGGAGGGUUUUAAGGUAAGGAAGGUAUGUGUGCAAUGACCUGAUCUGAUUUCCAUUUACAGUGAUUACUCAGACUGCUGUGAGGAGAACAUCAGAGGGCCAGGAUAGAUUACAGAGAAAAAGGGAGAGAGAUGUGCUGAUGGGUUGGCUCAGGUGGUGGAAGGAUUUAGAACAUGUUUGGAGGCAGAGCUGGCAGGCGUUACUUGUAGGCUGGAUAGAGAGGUUUGAAAGAACCCAAGAACCGAGGGUGACAAGGUUCUUAGCUUGAGUGGUGAGGUUAUGAACAUUUACGGAGAUUAGAAGACUGAGGACUGAGGAGGUCUGGGGUGACAUAAGGUGUUGUCCUUUGGCCAGUCUGUUUGUAUCCCAGGGCCUGCCAAGGAGGCUGAUGGGAAGGGGAAUGUGAAGAUCAGGACCUGAGAUAAGGAAUUUGGCAGUCAGUGGCCGGCAGCAGGUCAGCCUUGGGACUGCUGUCUUCGUGAAUCCUUGUUGUUCCUUAGGCUGUGGUGAACUUUAAGGCCUCAGCUUUCCUGAACUGCAGUAUCAACCUUCGCCUUUCCUGCCCUGGGUUUUGCUCCCAUUUUGUCUCCAAGCCCAACACAUGCAUCCCUUCCAGGCAAAAGCAGGAGAUGACACACACCAUGAGCCAGAUUUUCCAUGACAGACUUGUAAGGAACAAGAUAAUCUCAUUGUUCCUCCUGUUACUUAAAAUAAAGGCAAUAUUGAUUGUAUCAUAGCAGUUCAGGUCCUAAGGCAUGGUAUUGAUUAAGCGUCUGAUGAGAAUUUGUGGGGUAGCCUUCUAGACUACAGCCACAGGGCAUCUCCCCACUGGGCCAGGCCUCUGCGCUGACCUCCACGACCAUCAGUGGUGUUUUUCUUAGGAAUUCUUGGCCCUGUUUAGUCUCGGCCCUGUCCAGAGCAUUUAUUUUACCUGAUGGAUGGCUCAAUCCAGCCUAUUACCUUAAUCUGACCUCAGAAGUCUUCCGUCCUUUAUGAAUGUAAAGACUAAUUUUGACACUUUAAAAUUAUUUCCUUAUCAGGAUCAGUAGGUUUCAGGUUGAAUCUUGUGCUAUUGAACUUCCUAUUAAGAUGCUAUAAGCUGACUUUCUCUCUCUCUCUCUCUCUCUCUCUCUCUCUCUCAUUCAGUGCUACCUUGGAGCAAGGCUUAUUUUAUGGAUUUUUUUUUUUAAAUAAAUGGGGGACGGUGCCUCUUUUAACCAUGCCAUUAUUAAGCUCAUGGGACUCCUCCAUUUUAGUGUUACAUCAGGCAGAGUAAUUUCUUGUGGUUAUUGUAAUAUGAUGCAUGCAACAUUUGAGUCAAGCUAAGAUCAUGUUCUGAGGAUAUCUUGAGCAAGUUAAUAAUGUGGGAUAAAAUUGUUCCCUGCCCUAAGUAUAGAAGGAGUUCCCAGAAAUCAUCUAAAAAAUUUCAUGUAAAAUGUUUUGACUUUCUGCUGUAGUAAGAUUCAUGUAUUUUUCUCCUAUGUCUGAUGGCUCUGGCUGGAUUCGUCACAGCGUUGAAAUGAGGAUUAAAUGAGUUAAUAUAGCCUCAGGCACUUAGUGAAGUGCCUGCCACACAGUAAAUGCCCAAUUGAUGUUAUUAGCUAUUAGUAGCUACUCUAAUGUGAUGUUAGUACAGACCCCUUUGAUGUCAUCCACAAUUCCCAACACAGGCCUGGGCACAAAGUGUAAUAUUUAGGUAGACGCUUAGUGACUGAUUGAUGUCUCCAACAUUUGGGAUUUCCUUCCACACUUACAAUAUCAUAGCUUAUUUUAUGUCUUUUCUAAAAUGGUCUUGGUACCUGACAUCCUUUGAUCCUUCACAUGGUUACUCUCAAAAGGAACCAUAUGAAUUUUGACCGUUUCCACAUCUGCCUGUCUUUGUUAGCUGCCAGAAAGAACUCAGGUCUUAAAUUCUUUGCAGUUAAAAGAGAGUAAAUGUUAACAUUCCUAGUACAGUGCCCGGCACAGAAGAGGUGCGUGCCACCUGACUCAGAAUCCUGACUGCUGGUCAAUUCUGCCUUUAGGGAGACUAUGCUGGGGAGGAGUGUUGUAGCUCUGGCUGAGUUGGGAGGUGAAAUAAUUGUUUCUUAUUUGAGGAGAAGAUAAUGCCAAAGGCAUCCCCUGCUUCAUGCAAUUUCUGUUGAUGGACAGCUCUGUGUAGCAGGACUUAGGUGGGCUGGAUGGACACCCUGUAAGUGGAGAAAUGGCCUCUGCUUGGCUCAGGAGCAUGGAGUCAUUUUGGGGGUGGUUUAUGAGUCAUUUGAAAUAUGCAUUUAAUCUAGACUCUGUGGCCCGCUGGUGAGGCUGCUGCUUUUUUAUGAUCUCAAAUGUCUUGUCCAUGUCAAAACUUGCCUUGUUUCUUUGUUUACUUUGAAUCAGGAAAAUGUUCACGACCACACUCGGCAUUCCUUCUCAACCACACUUGGAAUUCCUUCGCAAGUGUGCGUUUGGUCGCAUCACCCCUGGCUACCACCAGUACAUGACUGUUUAUUUUGGAUGUCCUUUUCUGAUGUUCAGCUAAUUUAACCCACAAUGAAGUUAAUCCUUGCUUCUUUGGAAAAGUACAGAUUUACUUAUUAGCUGCUUUCAGAGACAUUUGCAUUUUCGUGAAAGUGAGUAUAUAAUUCCAUUGACUUUUGGACCCAUCUACUACCCACAUAUGCAGUGGAUGCCUUUUUGAAGUUAGAAAUAGGAGCAAAUCAGAACUGUCCUGAGUUAUCUCAAGUUCUCUCUAAGGUUAAUAAUGAACAUGUGUGUGACGGACUUGAGGAAAUGUUAUUGAAUAUUCUUUUAUAUCUAUUAAUCUUGCUUUCUUAUGAGAGAGAAAAAAAGGAAAGCCACUUUGGAAUUCAAGAUUUCACCUCUUUUCAAGACAUUUAUAGCAUGAUGAUUAAAAGCAUGGGUGCCAGAGCCACGCUUCUUGGGCUUGACUGCUGGAUCUGCCACUUACUGGUUGGGUGAACUUGAACAGGUUGUUUAAUUUCUAUGUACCUCAGUUUCAUUAUCUGUCAAGUGGGAAUAAUUAUAGUAACCACCACUAGAGGUUGAUUGAUGGUGAUCAAUUGAGGCAAUUGUUGGAGUAUUUAGAACAGGACUCAUGACUCAGCAACUGUAGUAUAACUAUUAACUAUUAUUUUUAUUAAUAAUUAGCAGUUGCAAAAAUAAAAAAAGAAGGCUAAUAAACUAUUAAUCAUGGCUAUUUCCCUAAGAGACAUUAUAGGUAUUUUGUCUACCUCUAAGGGUUUAUAUUAGGGUAGGUUACUGCUGUGACAAAAAUCUUAUCAAAGCACUGUGUAAUGUUGUUAACACAAUAAAUAUUGGUUUCUUAUGUAACAGUAACGAUCUGGUAAAUAGAGUGGUGGGACAUUUUCCUCCAUGCACUUAUUUAAGGAUGUAAGCAGAAGGAGGCUCUGCCAUCUCCAACCCAUGGCCUAGAAGGUCACGUUAGGUUAUCUCCAUUGCAGCCAGCGGGAAGGGGAGAAGAGCAUGCAGAAGUGUGUCCAGGAGUUCUUUAUGGGCCAGAUCUGGAAGUGGCACUCAGCACUGUGUGCACAUUCCAUUGGCCAGAACUCGCAGGAAGAGGAGGGAAGCUGCAGCUUCUAGUCUCAGCCACAGAAUUUUUCCGGGGUCCAUAAAAAUGUAUGAGACUGGAAAAAAUGUAGAAUUGAAAUGAAUAAAUGUUUGAUUAAAUGUUUAUAAAAUGAAGCCUUAUAUCUGUUUUCUGAGUCGCUAGAUUUUAUAUGCAAAAAAUGUUAUUACAUUUGAAAAUAAUUUAUAAGUUAGAUUUUCUAAUUUCCAAGAAUUCCCAAGCACACCCGGUGUUUGCUGAGAUGUCAUAGUCAAUCAUAGAUGAGUUUCUCAAGGCCAAAUAAAUUCAAACAUAAAAUUAUUAAAACCCACUGAAAACCAUUUUUUUAUUGCAGGGAAGCUUUUUAAUGUGCAAUGUGAAUACAAUUUAAUACGCUUAUUUUGAUGUUGAGAGUAGGGCCUUCAAAAGUAGCAGGGUGGCUUACAAAGGACUUAAGACAGUCUUGUUGAUUUUAGUAUAUGCAGACACAUUUUGAUGGCUUUGAAAAGGUGUGUGAGGAAGGUAACUAAAUACUUUCUCUUCUUGGAUAUCUGCCCCAAAGGUCUUUUUGCCAUUUUUUGUUGUUCUAUUUUUCCCCCUUUUUAAAUAAAUUAUUAGCCUCUGUGAUAUCCACAAAAUGAAUUGCAGAGCAUUUUUUAAAAAAAGAUUUCCUUUUUAUUUAUUUGGAAAGCAGAGUUAGAGAGGAGAGACAGAAAAAGAGAGAGAGAGAGAGGGAGAGAGAUCGAUUGAUCUCUUCUAUCUGGUGGUUCACUUCUCAAAUGGUCAGAUUGGUAGGGGCUGGGCCAUGCCAAAGCCAGGAGCCAAGAGCUUCUUCCAGGUCUCCCACAUUGGUGCAGGGGCCCAAACACUUGGCCAUCUUCAACAGCUUUUACAGGCACAUUAGCAAGGAGCUGGAUCAGAAGCAGAACAGCUGGAUCUCAAAUCAGCACCCAUGUAGGAUGCCAGCAUCGGAAGCUAUGUCACAAUGCUGGCCCCAAUUACAGAGCAUUUAAUAGCCCAGGUGCUUGGUCUGGUAGAUGCUGAUGUCAGAGAGGAGCACUGCUCUGUCUUUCCUGAUUAUCACUAUUUCUGAGUCAUUCUUGGCCUCUUGGACUGUGGCUUUCUUUUCCUGAGUUCCCUCCCCUCAGCGUGAGACACUUCUGAAUGAGUGUUUGGGAGACAUAGUUUGAAAAGCCAUUUUUAAUGAUGGAUCUUGUCAAGGGUUAUUUAAGUUGCAGUAGCUCUUGGUUCUUCUUUUCUCUUUCUCUCUCUCUCUCUCUCUCUCUCUCUCUCUCUCUCUCUCUCUCUCAUUUACUCAUUUACUCAUUUAACUGUAGUCCUGCUACUCGGAAUCACCUUUAUUGAUUAUAAGAGCAAACUGUCCAAUACAACUCUAAAGGGAUUUUGGUUAUACGUUAGGGCUAGGAUGGCAACUUCCUUGAAAGAGACUGGUCAUUGAGAAGUGUAGCACUGGUGUCUGGCAGCAUUGCAGGGAGCGCUGGAAGUGGAAUGUGGGGAACUCACAGACAAGGAUGGGCGUGGGGAGGGAACAAAUGUUUGCAUUGUCAGGAAAGUGAGUAUAUAAUUCUGCUGACUUUUGGACCUGACUAUCCACAUGUCCUUUGAGACAGUGUUUGUUUCUCCUGUAGUCGUCUGUAUCUCAGCACAUAGCCACUUCAUCUUUCAGGUUGCUCGGGCCGGGAAUCCUAGAGACAUCUUUUGAUUCUUUCUUAUUCUACAUCUCUUCCAUCAGCAGAUUCUUUUCCAUCUGUCUUCAGAAUCCAACCACUUCUCACCACGUCUGCAUCUUCUGUCCUUUUCCAAGCCACUAGCAUCUCUCUCCUGCAUCACUGCAGUUUCUUCCAAGCUCGUCGCCCUGCUGCUCUUCUCCUUGCAUUUCUCUACACAGUAGGCAAAGUUAGUCUUUAUAUUAUAAAAGAAAAAUCAUCAUGUCCUUCUUUUCAAAUUUUCUCAUGUUUUCUCAAGUGUUGAACAUGGAGUUCCCAUAAAAUCUAGCACUUCUACUCUUAGUUACCUGAAAGAAGUAAAAUGUAUGUCUAAAACUCAGACAUGAAUGCUCACAGAAGCAUUAUUCAUCAUAGCCCCAACACGGAGACAGCCCACAUGUCCUUCAUCUGAUGCACAGAUCAAGAGGUGGUAUGUCCAUGCAAUGGAACAUUAUUUAUCAAUAAAAAGGAUGAAGCACUGAUACGUGCUGUCAGAUGGACGAACCUUGGAACCAUAUGCUAAGUCAAAGAAGCCGGUGGCAAAAGGCCAUGUACUCCACAAUUCCUUAUGCAGAACAGGCAAAUGCAGUGGUUGCCAGGAGCUAAGGAAAGAGAUCUGGGGAGUGACUGCUAACGGGUAUAGCAUGUCUUUUUGGAGCAAUGAAAAUGUUCAGAGUACUGGUGAUAAUUGCAAAACUGAACUCUGACUUGCACAUUUAAAGAGGAGAAAUUGUAUAUUAAUUUUAUGUCAAUAAAUCUGCUAUUGAAAAAAAUAACUCUUCUGACUUUGUACCAGAUCUAUUCCCUACAUCAUCUCUUACUGUUCUAUCCUUUUUGUUUCUAAUCCAUCCAUAAUGGCCGUUAUUCUGUCCCUCAAACAGGGCAAGUGCUUGCUGCCUCUGGACCUUUGUACUUGCUGUUGUCUCUUGUAGGUUGUUCUUCCUCUAGAUACUUGUUCCCCAGCUUUCCCUAGGUCUCUACAUAAAUAUUGUGUUCUCAGGAGACUUUCUCUGAUGGCCCUGAAACAGCACUUUCCAUCUCACUGUGUGCUGGUGUUCUCUGCUUACUUUAUCUGGUUUUGUUUUUGUGUGUAUUAUUUAACCAUUCUCUGAUGUGCUCUUUCCUGUGUGUGUUUGUGUGUGUGUGUGUGUGUGUGUAUCUUAUCUAUUAGAAUGUAAACUCCACGAGGCAGUGAUUUUGCUUUGUUCAUUACUGUUUCUGCAGACAUGUAGAUUGGAUCUCUUUUGGUCAGACUAUUAGCACGGAAAGAUGAGGUUUUCUGUGGCAGCAUUGAUGCUGUUUGGGGAUACGCUGUAUUUGUGUGGAAUAUUCUGAGUAUCUAUCUGAUGCUACAUAAGAAAUCAGUGGCUUGGAAACAGUCUCUACAGGAAAAUUGCUUUGAAUUUGAAGGGUGGAAUUGAACUUCUCAGAGAUUACAUAAUCUUUUAUGGUCAGAUACUUCUUGCUAUAGCUUGGUAAGUUUUCCUACUUUUUUUUUUUUAACCAUUUGCUUUAUGCUAACAUGGUUCAUAAAGUUUGUCAGUUUUCAUCUUUGGCUUACAGAUUCAAAGCCUUUAAUUCUAUUCAUCCUUAAUUUACCACCCUUUUAUUGUCUUUUCUUGCCUUGGAAUGUACUUAAGAUUUAUUUUUGUGGCAAGCCUUGUGGCACAGAGGGUUAAGCUGCUGUUUGAGAUGCCGGCAUCCUAAAUUGGAGUGCCUGUUUGAGCUGCUGCUCCUUUGCUUCUGAUCUAGCUUCCUGCAAAUGCUUCCUGGGAGGCAGCAGGUGAUGGCUCCAGUGCUUGGGCCCCUGCCAUCUAGGCUCCUCGUUUUCGCCUGGCCCAUCUUUGGCUGUUGUGGGCUUUGGGGAGUGAACCAGUAGAUACAAGAUCUCUUUCUUUCUCUGCCCUACACACACCUCUCUCUGUCACUGUGCCUUUCAAGUAGAUGGAAAUAAAUAAAUAUUU